CUAGGUUUUUACCUAUUGCUUGGUCUUGGAGAUGGAAGCCAAUUCAUUGGAAUCCUCUUCGAAAUUCAAUGGCGAAGACCCUUGCUCUCCCAAGUGUAGUAAUAACUUAUAUCACUGAAGGAAGCGAGAAAUCUUCCGCCGAAACCCCCAUAUUUUCUAUGAUUGACCUCGGAUCAGGUAGGGAUACCCGCUGAACUUAA
rnacentral:misc_RNA from 1 species